rnacentral:rRNA from 1 species
UGUGACGGCCAUAUCCCCCCCUGAACAUGCCAGAUCUCAUUUGAUCUCAGAAGCUAAGCAGGAUCAGGCCUGGUUAGUACUUGGAUGAGCGUACACAGGGUUUUUUUGCUU